rnacentral:rRNA from 2 species
AAAGUCAUGGUUAAGUGGGAAACGAUGUGGGAAGGCCCAGACAGCCAGGAUGUUGGCUUAGAAGCAGCCAUCAUUUAAAGAAAGCGUAAUAGCUCACUGGUCGAGUCGGCCUGCGCGGAAGAUGUAACGGGGCUAAACCAUGCACCGAAGCUGCGGCAGCGACACUGUGUGUUGUUGGGUAGGGGAGCGUUCUGUAAGCCUGUGAAGGUGUGUCGUGAGGCAUGCUGGAGGUAUCAGAAGUGCGAAUGCUGACAUAAGUAACGAUAAAGCGGGUGAAAAGCCCGCUCGCCGGAAGACCAAGGGUUCCUGUCCAACGUUAAUCGGGGCAGGGUGAGUCGACCCCUAAGGCGAGGCCGAAAGGCGUAGUCGAUGGGAAACGGGUUAAUAUUCCCGUACUUGGUGUUACUGCGAAGGGGGGACGGAGAAGGCUAUGUUGGCCGGGCGACGGUUGUCCCGGUUUAAGCGUGUAGGUGUGUGUUCCAGGUAAAUCCGGUUCACUUUAACACUGAGGCGUGACGACGAGGCACUACGGUGCUGAAGCAACAAAUGCCCUGCUUCCAGGAAAAGCCUCUAAGCAUCAGGUAACAUCAAAUCGUACCCCAAACCGACACAGGUGGUCAGGUAGAGAAUACCAAGGCGCUUGAGAGAACUCGGGUGAAGGAACUAGGCAAAAUGGUGCCGUAACUUCGGGAGAAGGCACGCUGACACGUAGGUGAAGUGAUUUACUCAUGGAGCUGAAGUCAGUCGAAGAUACCAGCUGGCUGCAACUGUUUAUUAAAAACACAGCACUGUGCAAACACGAAAGUGGACGUAUACGGUGUGACGCCUGCCCGGUGCCGGAAGGUUAAUUGAUGGGGUCAGCGCAAGCGAAGCUCCUGAUCGAAGCCCCGGUAAACGGCGGCCGUAACUAUAACGGUCCUAAGGUAGCGAAAUUCCUUGUCGGGUAAGUUCCGACCUGCACGAAUGGCGUAAUGAUGGCCAGGCUGUCUCCACCCGAGACUCAGUGAAAUUGAACUCGCUGUGAAGAUGCAGUGUACCCGCGGCAAGACGGAAAGACCCCGUGAACCUUUACUAUAGCUUGACACUGAACAUUGAGCCUUGAUGUGUAGGAUAGGUGGGAGGCUUUGAAGUGUGGACGCCAGUCUGCAUGGAGCCGACCUUGAAAUACCACCCUUUAAUGUUUGAUGUUCUAACGUGGACCCGUUACCCGGGUUGCGGACAGUGUCUGGUGGGUAGUUUGACUGGGGCGGUCUCCUCCUAAAGAGUAACGGAGGAGCACGAAGGUUGGCUAAUCCUGGUCGGACAUCAGGAGGUUAGUGCAAUGGCAUAAGCCAGCUUGACUGCGAGCGUGACGGCGCGAGCAGGUGCGAAAGCAGGUCAUAGUGAUCCGGUGGUUCUGAAUGGAAGGGCCAUCGCUCAACGGAUAAAAGGUACUCCGGGGAUAACAGGCUGAUACCGCCCAAGAGUUCAUAUCGACGGCGGUGUUUGGCACCUCGAUGUCGGCUCAUCACAUCCUGGGGCUGAAGUAGGUCCCAAGGGUAUGGCUGUUCGCCAUUUAAAGUGGUACGCGAGCUGGGUUUAGAACGUCGUGAGACAGUUCGGUCCCUAUCUGCCGUGGGCGCUGGAGAACUGAGGGGGGCUGCUCCUAGUACGAGAGGACCGGAGUGGACGCAUCACUGGUGUUCGGGUUGUCAUGCCAAUGGCACUGCCCGGUAGCUAAAUGCGGAAGAGAUAAGUGCUGAAAGCAUCUAAGCACGAAACUUGCCCCGA